GAUGAACGCUGGCGGCGUGCCUAAUACAUGCAAGUCGAGCGAACAGACGAGGAGCUUGCUCCUCUGACGUUAGCGGCGGACGGGUGAGUAACACGUGGAUAACCUACCUAUAAGACUGGGAUAACUUCGGGAAACCGGAGCUAAUACCGGAUAAUAUAUUGAACCGCAUGGUUCAAUAGUGAAAGACGGUUUUGCUGUCACUUAUAGAUGGAUCCGCGCCGCAUUAGCUAGUUGGUAAGGUAACGGCUUACCAAGGCGACGAUGCGUAGCCGACCUGAGAGGGUGAUCGGCCACACUGGAACUGAGACACGGUCCAGACUCCUACGGGAGGCAGCAGUAGGGAAUCUUCCGCAAUGGGCGAAAGCCUGACGGAGCAACGCCGCGUGAGUGAUGAAGGUCUUCGGAUCGUAAAACUCUGUUAUUAAGGAAGAACAAUGUGUAAGUAACUAUGCACGUCUUGACGGUACCUAAUCAGAAAGCCACGGCUAACUACGUG
rnacentral:rRNA from 1 species